rnacentral:rRNA from 2 species
UUAAGCGACUAAGCGUACACGGUGGAUGCCCUGGCAGUCAGAGGCGAUGAAGGACGUGCUAAUCUGCGAAAAGCGUCGGUAAGGUGAUAUGAACCGUUAUAGCCGGCGAUGUCCGAAUGGGGAAACCCAGUGCAAUUCGUUGCACUAUCGUUAACUGAAUACAUAGGUUAACGAGGCGAACCGGGGGAACUGAAACAUCUAAGUACCCCGAGGAAAAGAAAUCAACCGAGAUUCCCCCAGUAGCGGCGAGCGAACGGGGAGCAGCCCGGAGUCUGAAUCAGCUUGUGUGUUAGUGGAAGCGUCUGGAAAGUCGCAGGGUACAGGGUGAUACUCCCGUACACUAAAGCACACAGGUUGUGAACUCGAAGAGUAGGGCGGGACACGUGGUAUCCUGUCUGAAUAUGGGGGGACCAUCCUCCAAGGCUAAAUACUCCUGACUGACCGAUAGUGAACCAGUACCGUGAGGGAAAGGCGAAAAGAACCCCGGCGAGGGGAGUGAAAAAGAACCUGAAACCGUGUACGUACAAGCAGUAGGAGCCCACUAGUUGGGUGACUGCGUACCUUUUGUAUAAUGGGUCAGCGACUUAUAUUCUGUAGCAAGGUUAACCGUAUAGGGGAGCCGCAGGGAAACCGAGUCUUAACUGGGCGUUAAGUUGCAGGGUAUAGACCCGAAACCCGGUGAUCUAGCCAUGGGCAGGUUGAAGGUUGGGUAACACUAACUGGAGGACCGAACCGACUAAUGUUGAAAAAUUAGCGGAUGACUUGUGGCUGGGGGUGAAAGGCCAAUCAAACCGGGAGAUAGCUGGUUCUCCCCGAAAGCUAUUUAGGUAGCGCCUCGUGAACUCAUCUUCGGGGGUAGAGCACUGUUUCGGCUAGGGGGUCAUCCCGACUUACCAACCCGAUGCAAACUACGAAUACCGAAGAAUGUUAUCACGGGAGACACACGGCGGGUGCUAACGUCCGUCGUGAAGAGGGAAACAACCCAGACCGCCAGCUAAGGUCCCAAAGUCAUGGUUAAGUGGGAAACGAUGUGGGAAGGCCCAGACAGCCAGGAUGUUGGCUUAGAAGCAGCCAUCAUUUAAAGAAAGCGUAAUAGCUCACUGGUCGAGUCGGCCUGCGCGGAAGAUGUAACGGGGCUAAACCAUGCACCGAAGCUGCGGCAGCGACACUAUGUGUUGUUGGGUAGGGGAGCGUUCUGUAAGCCGUUGAAGGUGGCCUGUGAGGGUUGCUGGAGGUAUCAGAAGUGCGAAUGCUGACAUAAGUAACGAUAAUGCGGGUGAAAAACCCGCACGCCGGAAGACCAAGGGUUCCUGUCCAACGUUAAUCGGGGCAGGGUGAGUCGACCCCUAAGGCGAGGCCGAAAGGCGUAGUCGAUGGGAAACAGGUUAAUAUUCCUGUACUCGGUGUUACUGCGAAGGGGGGACGGAGAAGGCUAUGUUGGCCGGGCGACGGUUGUCCCGGUUUAAGCAUGUAGGCGGAUGUUCCAGGUAAAUCCGGAACGUUACUAACGCUGAGGUGUGAUGACGAGGCACUACGGUGCUGAAGUGACAAAUGCCCUGCUUCCAGGAAAAGCCUCUAAGCAUCAGGUAACAUCAAAUCGUACCCCAAACCGACACAGGUGGUCAGGUAGAGAAUACCAAGGCGCUUGAGAGAACUCGGGUGAAGGAACUAGGCAAAAUGGUGCCGUAACUUCGGGAGAAGGCACGCUGAUGGUAAGUGAAGUGACUUGCUCAUGGAGCUGAAAUCAGUCGAAGAUACCAGCUGGCUGCAACUGUUUAUUAAAAACACAGCACUGUGCAAACACGAAAGUGGACGUAUACGGUGUGACGCCUGCCCGGUGCCGGAAGGUUAAUUGAUGGGGUUAUCCGUAAGGAGAAGCUCUUGAUCGAAGCCCCGGUAAACGGCGGCCGUAACUAUAACGGUCCUAAGGUAGCGAAAUUCCUUGUCGGGUAAGUUCCGACCUGCACGAAUGGCGUAAUGAUGGCCAGGCUGUCUCCACCCGAGACUCAGUGAAAUUGAACUCGCUGUGAAGAUGCAGUGUACCCGCGGCAAGACGGAAAGACCCCGUGAACCUUUACUAUAGCUUGACACUGAACACUGGUCCUUGAUGUGUAGGAUAGGUGGGAGGCUUUGAAGUGUGGACGCCAGUCUGCAUGGAGCCAUCCUUGAAAUACCACCCUUUAAUGGCUGGUGUUCUAACGUGGGCCCCUGAUCGGGGUUGCGGACAGUGUCUGGUGGGUAGUUUGACUGGGGCGGUCUCCUCCUAAAGAGUAACGGAGGAGCACGAAGGUCAGCUAAUCCUGGUCGGACAUCAGGAGGUUAGUGCAAUGGCAUAAGCUGGCUUGACUGCGAGCGUGACGGCGCGAGCAGGUGCGAAAGCAGGUCAUAGUGAUCCGGUGGUUCUGAAUGGAAGGGCCAUCGCUCAACGGAUAAAAGGUACUCCGGGGAUAACAGGCUGAUACCGCCCAAGAGUUCAUAUCGACGGCGGUGUUUGGCACCUCGAUGUCGGCUCAUCACAUCCUGGGGCUGAAGUAGGUCCCAAGGGUAUGGCUGUUCGCCAUUUAAAGUGGUACGCGAGCUGGGUUUAGAACGUCGUGAGACAGUUCGGUCCCUAUCUGCCGUGGGCGCUGGAGAAUUGAGGGGGGCUGCUCCUAGUACGAGAGGACCGGAGUGGACGCAUCACUGGUGUUCGGGUUGUCAUGCCAAUGGCAUUGCCCGGUAGCUAAAUGCGGAAGAGAUAAGUGCUGAAAGCAUCUAAGCACGAAACUUGCCCCGAGAUGAGUUCUCCCUGACCCUUUAAGGGUCCUGAAGGAACGUUGAAGACGACGACGUUGAUAGGCCGGGUGUGUAAGCGCAGCGAUGCGUUGAGCUAACCGGUACUAAUGAACCGUGAGGCUUAACCUU